rnacentral:rRNA from 1 species
AUUGAACGCUGGCAGCAGGCCUAACACAUGCAAGUCGAGCGGAUGAGGGAAGCUUGCUUCCCGAUUUAGCGGCGGACGGGUGAGUAAUGCCUAGGAAUCUGCCUAUUAGUGGGGGAUAACGUUCCGAAAGGAACGCUAAUACCGCAUACGUCCUACGGGAGAAAGUGGGGGAUCUUCGGACCUCACGCUAAUAGAUGAGCCUAGGUCGGAUUAGCUAGUUGGUGAGGUAACGGCUCACCAAGGCGACGAUCCGUAGCUGGUCUGAGAGGAUGAUCAGCCAAACUGGAACUGAGACACGGUCCAGACUCCUACGGGAGGCAGCAGUGUGGAAUAUUGGACAAUGGGCGAAAGCCUGAUCCAGCCAUGCCGCGUGUGUAAAGAAGGUCUUCGGAUUGUAAAGCACUUUAAGUUGGGAGGAAGAGUUGUAAGCUAAUAUCUUGCAGCUUUGACGUUACCAACAGAAUAAGCACCGGCUAACUCUGUGCCAGCCGCCGCCGUAACAC